UUACGGCCAUAUCAUGUUGAAACACCGGUUCCCGUACGAUCACCGAAGUAAGCAACAACGUCGAGCCUGGUCAGUACCUAGAUGGGUGACCGCUUGGGAAUACCAGGUGCUGUAAG